rnacentral:rRNA from 1 species
CUUGGGCCCUCCGGCCCCGGGACUCUCGAAGAAGUUAUAGAGGGGGACCGGGGCCCCCCGCGCCCCUCUUUGGUGUUAUUAUGGUGAGCCGGCCCCCCCCCCAGAUUGGAUUCGAUACUGGGGAGGUCGGUGAGAAACGGCUACCACAUCCAAGGAAGGCAGCAGGCGCGCAAAAUUACCCACUCCCGACUCGGGGGGAGGUAGUGACGAAAAAAUAACAAUACAGGGAUCCUUUUCGAGGGCCCUGUAAUUGGAAUGAGUACACUUUUAAAUCCUUUUAACGAGGAAUCCAUUUGGAAGGGCAAAGUCUGGGGGCCAGCAGCCGGGGGUAAUUUCCAGCUCCAAUAAGCGGUAUCUUAAAAGUUGCCGGCAGUUUAAAAAGCUCGUAGUGGGAACUCGGGAAUCGAGCUGACGGUCCGCCCCCAAGGCAAGCUACGGCUGUCCCACCCCCGGCUUCUCGGCCCCCCCUCAAGCCCCUUAGUUGAUUGCCCCGCGGGGUCCCAAACGUUUACUUUGAAAAAAUUAAAGGGUUCAAAGCAGGCCCGGUCCCCCUAAUUCCGGCACCUAGGAUAAUGGAAAAGGACCCCGGUUCUAUUUUGGGGGGUUUUCCCCCAAAUGGGGCCUGUUUAAAAGGGACGGCCGGGGGCUUUCUUUUGGCCCCUAAAGGGAAAUCUUUGGACCGGGCAAAAAGGACAAAAGGAAAACUUUUCCAAAAAGGUUUUUUUUAACAAAAAAAAAAAUGGGGGGUCAAAAAAAAAAAACCCGGGGUAUUCAAAAAAAAAAGGGCCAAAGGUUCCCGGGGGUUUUUCCCUAGAACCCCCGGGGAAGCGGGAAAAAACAAAUCUUUUUGUUUCCGGGGGGGGUAUGUGUGUCAACGUGAUACUAUAGGGGUGGGGGGGGGGCCCCCGAGGGUGCGCGCGGCGCUUUUUUUUUCUCCACAGAGAGAUCCCCCCCCGCGCGAGAGGAGAUGAGAGAGGGAACCCUCCUCCUCACAGGAGGGGGGCGCGCCCUCUCAUGGAGAGAGAUGUCUGUGAUUAUCAACAAGAGAUAAUAAUACUAGCUGAUGUAUUCUCCGCAGUGUGCCGAGAACGAUUCCUAUUAAGAGAAUUAGUGUGUCGUCGC